rnacentral:lncRNA from 1 species
GGAAGUAUAUAUCCAAUGCUACAGAUCAAGCAGGUCUGGGAUGACCAUGAGACAUUACAGAUCCAAUGUCACAGAUCAAGCAGGUCUGGGAUGACCAUGAGACAUUAACUUAGUUUUAGUAACAUGUCCUUCUUGAAAAGGAAUGUCUCCGGUCACCACAACCAAGUUCUCACAUCAUUUCUAGCUCAAAUGCUGAUAAAACUAAUAGGAAAAAUAGUGCACAAAGGAGAGGAAAAAAUCAUAAGCAAAGUCUAUUGUUGCUUCACCAUCCGUUUUUAGCGAAAAUAUCAAAGCAACGACUUGCUUUGCUCGCCAAGCGGACUGUCUCCUUUAUAUCAG